AUCAAUUCCACACCCAUACGCUGUCAGCGCCUGCUCAUCAGGUGGAUGAAGUUUAACCCACUUGCUGAAUUUGUCCCUGAAAAACACCUAUUAAUUGCGGACACCAUGUCUAGGCAACAUCCAGCUGACCUAGAAGCAGAAGUUAAAGCAGAUGUGGAUUCAGUGGAGGAGGACCUGAGAGUGAGGAAGCCGACCAUAGAACAGAUAAAAGACGGGACAAGAACAGACGGUGAACUCCAGUGUGUCCUCAGGUGGUGCUUCACCUGCCGCCCACCGUCUUGAACAUUAGCGACGUCGAGGUGCCGUCGUGCCUCGCUAACGGAGAAUACGAAGCCCAGAUUACCGUUUCCAGCGGCACCCAGAAAAUCGCCUGCCUCCGCACCAGCUUUCAUCUUAAACUGCAGUGAAACGUCACCUUUUCCAGUUAAUUAAUAUCUCUAAAUAAUGUCCAGGUUCAAAUAAAAGCGUGUUACUUUUAACGAUGGCCCGUUGAAUGUGAUCUGAUUAUUAAACGCAACAUUCAAGGUUGAAAAAUAAAAUCAGAGUUUCACAAAGAUGGACUUUCAUCACUUUUAAGGCGUACUAUUGCACAUAUUGUAGUAUUCAUCUAACUUGAUAUUAUGGUGUUUGGAACCAGCACGAUGUCAUUGGUGAACUGAUGGAUAAAUGACCUGCAUGGAGACCAAUUAGCGAUACAGGGAGUCAGGGAACAUAUAGAGGCACAGAGACAAAUUCGUCACUUGCUCUUAUGUUUUGACUUCAUUUCAAUUCAUACUUUAUAACUUUUUUUUCUGCCAAUAGUCGGCGCUGUUCGCUAACUUAUUUAGGUAUAUUAAUUUGCAGUGAUUAAGAUGGAUUCCUGCACAGUGCAUUUGUUGGCAAAACCCCAUUCAAGUAUGAAAUAUUAGAAUUUGUCACCAUCAGUGUGAA